AACGAACGCUGGCGGCAUGCCUAACACAUGCAAGUCGAACGAGACCUUCGGGUCUAGUGGCGCACGGGUGCGUAACGCGUGGGAACCUGCCCUUAGGUUCGGAAUAACUCCCCGAAAGGGGUGCUAAGACCGGAUAAUGUCUUCGGACCAAAGAUUUAUCGCCUUUGGAUGGGCCCGCGUUGGAUUAGCUAGUUGGUAGGGUAAAAGCCUACCAAGGCGACGAUCCAUAGCUGGUCUGAGAGGAUGAUCAGCCACACUGGGACUGAGACACGGCCCAGACUCCUACGGGAGGCAGCAGUGGGGAAUAUUGGACAAUGGGCGAAAGCCUGAUCCAGCAAUGCCGCGGGAGUGAUGAAGGCCUUAGGGUUGUAAAGCUCUUUUACCCGGGAUGAUAAGGACAGUACCGGGAGAAUAAGCUCCGGCUAACUCCGU
rnacentral:rRNA from 1 species